AGCACACCCCAGGCAUAGGCGUUUUUUGCGUAAAAAAACAAAAAAAAUCACCGGAUCGUUGCUCGUUGCUUCCUGUCUUAUUGUCAAAUGUUUCAUUGCGAAGUCCCAUGAGUACCUCAAUUUUUGGGCCAUACGAGUUAUUGUCCAUGCCCAACGAUUUGCUUUCUUUUGGUCUAUGCCCUCAGACGGCUGUUUAACAUCUCCGAUGAAACCCUGAAUCCCAUUUCCGUUCCAGAAAAUACCAAAGAAGUAGGGAUCAUCAAGAGUUCAAGUAUAUGGAAAUGAGAUAAUGAGAAAAUCAAUUUCAACUCGAUUGCUAACCCUAUCUUUUCCAUCAUCCAUGAAGAAGCUGAUGCAAAAUGUCAGUCACCCCUUAUGCAAAAUGUCACAGAGCUAGAAUCCGAUUAGAAACAUGUUGGUGAGGAAAUAAUCAAACAAGAUCAGGUGAAAAAUUGGACUUCGCCUCCCUCAAGCAUAGUUCGAUCUUUCUUCAACAUGGAGAAACCAGGGUGGCCGCAGUUGAUGGUGAAGGUGGGUUCAUCUAGUAAGCCGUUUGCUUUUCCAGGGUGGCGGCAAUGGGUACUGAUUUAGUUGGUGAAAGGGUGUUUGGGGUUCCAGUAACUAUGGUGGCCAGAUUUUCUUGUCAAUCCGUUUAUAUAUUUCAUCUUUUUCGAUCAACAUCAAUCGAAAUCACUGAUUUCAUAAUUAGGUACAUGUUUAAGGUGAAAGAAGUGGCGACGAUUUCGUUUGGUGGCUUGGUUAUGGAAGAUGACUUUGGAGGCAGAUGGCGGUGAUCGGCAAAAGCAGCAGGUGCAACAGUGGGGUUGUCGGCAAACUGUGAUGGAAGACCUAAUGUUUGUUAGGGUUUACUUGGAUUUACUUGUGGACUUAUGUCCAUAUGAUAUGUGGGCUUUCAAACUGUUUCUCAGGGUAUUUAUAUGGGCUCGAUGUUUUCGAGUAUUCUUUGGAUUUAUGAGUUUUGGCCAGGCAUUCAUCUGUUUUGGUCUUUGUAAUGGGGUUUUCCAUUUUGGGAUCUUAUAGGCAUUUCAACUUCGAAAUAUCAUUGUGGG